UACGUAGGGUGCAAGCGUUAAUCGGAAUUACUGGGCGUAAAGCGUGCGCAGGCGGUUAUGUAAGACAGAUGUGAAAUGCCCGGGCUUAACCUGGGAACUGCAUUUGUGACUGCAUGGCUAGAGUUUGGCAGAGUGGGGUAGAAUUCCACGUGUAGCAGUGAAAUGCGUAGAUAUGUGGAGGAACACCGAUGGCGAAGGCAGCCCCCUGGGUCAAGACUGACGCUCAUGCACGAAAGCGUGGGGAGCAAACAGG
rnacentral:rRNA from 1 species